rnacentral:ncRNA from 1 species
AUAAAUGCAAUGAAGAGAAGAGUAAUCAGUGGAGCAAUCGACAGAGAACCCCGGUAGCUGAGAAGGGGAGAUUUGCAUAAGCUGACGAAGAUGGUCUCGGAGCAGCACACCGAGGAAGAAAUUCUUAGGCUGUGACGGCAGCAUCCGUUAUUAUGCUAGGCUGUUAUAUGCAGCGACUAAGGCCUAUGAUUGCGAAACAUAGGUGAAUUAAAGUGGUACCACGGGAAGUCCUCUCGUCUUUAAA